ACGGGUGAGUAACACGUGGGUAACCUACCUAUAAGACUGGGAUAACUUCGGGAAACCGGAGCUAAUACCGGAUAAUAUUUCGAACCGCAUGGUUCGAUAGUGAAAGGNGGUUUUGCUAUCACUUAUAGAUGGACCCGCGCCGUAUUAGCUAGUUGGUAAGGUAACGGCUUACCAAGGCGACGAUACGUAGCCGACCUGAGAGGGUGAUCGGCCACACUGGAACUGAGACACGGUCCAGACUCCUACGGGAGGCAGCAGGG
rnacentral:rRNA from 1 species